UAUAUUUUUGCUACUGUUGGCCACUUGUCGCACCAUUGCGUACACAUUGCUUUUGGCUUGACGCCCAAUUUCUGUUUGUGACAGUUGCGCUCUAGCAGCCGUUAUUAUUGUUGUUGCGCUCCUGAGUUUUGCAUGACAUUUGGUUGUAGCAGCAUCAACCACAUAAACAGCCACAGUAGCAGCGCUGAAGCGGCAGCGGCAGCGAAUGUUUUGUGAGUAGCGCAAACAAACUCUCUUUGUCAUGUGCUGUUAUACUCUGAGAGCGCAAACACCACCAAUGCAUGUAUGCAUGUUUGUGCAAAUACAAGUAGGGAAAUGUGCAAGUGUAUGCGACUUUUUUAGGGGUUGGUGACUGUUUGCUUUUGCCAUUGCCUUUGCCUUUGCCUUUGCUUUUGACUGUGUCUCUUCUGCUUGUUCUUUUAUUAUAUUAAACGAUUUUUUUAACCGUCCGUUGAUGUGCCGUCUUCUUUGCUACACUCAUUCAUGUUGUUGCCAACAGUCAGUGACUUGUGCAAGAAAAACAUCAAAAACUAUAGGAAACUCAGCAACAGCAGCUAGAGUGUCGGCAGCCACUUGCCACCAAUUCGGUCAACUGUCUGAGCGCUGGCUCGCAUGUACGUCCAACGCCACAUCCGCUCCGACCGACCGUCCGUCCGUCCAUUCAUCCAGCCAUCCAUCUAUACGUCCAUCUGUGCGACUGUCUAGCUGGCAUGCGGCAGCCAAGUUGAAUAGAAUUACGCUGAGCUGUUUCGUUUCGUUUUGGCCAACUGUUGUGCGCUCCUUGCCGUGUUGUGCUUCCGUUCGUCGAUUGUGCUCUGAUAGCGUUUGUGGCAGCCGCCAGCCAACAACAGGCAGCCAGUCAGCCAACCAACCAACCAGCCAACCAUCUCGUCAAGUGGAUUUCAUUUCAGUUUCAUUUCAAACGUCGUGCGGUGUUGAAGUGUGUCGCGGCGCGUCUCUUCCGCUUCUUCGAGUUGAAUUUCAUUUUAAACGCGUCCGUUUUCAAUUCAUAUAAACCUACAUACACAUACACACUCUCAUAAAUAUUUGAAAAAAGUUUUGAUGACAACAAUGAAUUUGUGCGCCCGUGUACAACAGCCGGAAAACGUUGCGGUCUAAAAGGAAGCGAGUAGCAGCAAUAAAAACAUAAUCCAUCACUUGGAGAUAUGAAAAUGUGCACCUACCAAAGAAUAUAAUAAAAAACUACAACAUAUUUUUCUCAUUCUUGCAAAGUAAAAAAAUAUUAAAUAAAAAUAUAUAAAAAACUAAAAAUAAUACAAAAAAAAAUAAGAAGUAGAUAUGUAAAGUGCGUAAAAAGAAGGUUAAAAAAUAUACAUAGAAAAAGUUGUUAUCAAUGCGACGGCAAUUUUCAAUACCAAAGAAUAAAUAAAAAGUUGAAUAAAAUUUCAAUAACUUCAUCGAAACUGGCACACGUUUAACACACAUACACAUACAUACACACACAAGCAGGCAGAUACAUUUUAGUAUAUGUAAACUUGCAGCUAAUCGAAAAUAAAUAAAACAUCAUCGCUUGAUUCACGGAGCACAAUCAAAAAAGGUCACAUCCACAAACGAAUUGACAGACAAAAACACAAAUAUUUCAUAAACAAAAAAUAACAUACACAAAAAAAAAACACAUACACACUUACAAAACGCCG